rnacentral:rRNA from 2 species
AAGGUAACGGAGGCGCCCAAAGGUUCGCUCAGUAUGGUUGGAAAUCAUGCGCAGAGUGUAAAGGCACAAGCGAGCUUGACUGCGAGACAGACAGGUCGAGCAGGGACGAAAGUCGGGCUUAGUGAUCCGGUGGUUCCGUAUGGAAGGGCCAUCGCUCAACGGAUAAAAGCUACCCUGGGGAUAACAGGCUUAUCUCCCCCAAGAGUCCACAUCGACGGGGAGGUUUGGCACCUCGAUGUCGGCUCAUCGCAUCCUGGGGCUGUAGUCGGUCCCAAGGGUUGGGCUGUUCGCCCAUUAAAGCGGUACGCGAGCUGGGUUCAGAACGUCGUGAGACAGUUCGGUCCCUAUCCGUCGCGGGCGUAGGAAAUUUGAGAGGACCUGUCCUUAGUACGAGAGGACCGGGAUGGACAUACCGCUGGUGUACCAGUUGUUCCGCCAGGAGCACCGCUGGGUAGCUAUGUAUGGACGAGAUAAACGCUGAAAGCAUCUAAGUGUGAAACUCGCCUCGAGAUGAGAUUUCCCAUUUCCUUCGGGAAAGUAAGACCCCUCAGAGAUGAUGAGGUAGAUAGGAUGGAAGUGGAAGUGCCGUGAGGCAUGGAGCGGACCAUUACUAAUCGGUCGAGGACUUAACCAAG